rnacentral:rRNA from 3 species
AAAACUUUCAACAACGGAUCUCUUGGUUCUGGCAUCGAUGAAGAACGCAGCGAAAUGCGAUACGUAGUGUGAAUUGCAGAAUUCAGUGAAUCAUCGAAUCUUUGAACGCACAUUGCGCCCGCUAGUAUUCUGGCGGGCAUGCCUGUUCGAGCGUCAUUU